CUAUUGUCGCCCCGUCGCCGCAAAAUCGGCGACCGGGUGUGCAAGCCCGACCA
rnacentral:ncRNA from 1 species